AAGAAAGGCGGAGGGAGGACGAGAGGGCACAGGAUGCAGCCCUGGGAGCGAAGCGUGCGCAGUCUGGCUAUGUGCCAGGAGAGGAAUGGGGAAGGGGAGCUCGGAGAACCAGCUGAGUGCAGCACAUUGGAAGGGUAGUGACGGGCCCCUGCCUUUUCUGUUUAAUGCCCUCCCUGCCAGCUUCUUCCCCUCGGCCCUGGCUCCUACCAGCCCAUGGAGUGAGUUCUGGGCUCGUCGGUGGAGAUGGGAGUUUCCUCAGAAGAGUUUUCAAUGGAGACAUGGUCCUUUUCAGGGAUCAGCUGAGCAGCUGGGCCCGAGGAGACAGAGGGAACAAGGGGCAGAGAAAGAGCUCGUGGUAAGAAACAGC